UACGUAGGGUGCGAGCGUUAAUCGGAAUUACUGGGCGUAAAGCGUGCGCAGGCGGUUUUGUAAGCCAGAUGUGAAAGCCCCGGGCUUAACCUGGGAAUGGCAUUUGGGACUGCAAGGCUGGAGUGUGGCAGAGGAGACUGGAAUUCCUGGUGUAGCAGUGAAAUGCGUAGAUAUCAGGAGGAAUACCGAUGGCGAAGGCAGGUCUCUGGGCUGACACUGACGCUCAUGCACGAAAGCGUGGGGAGCAAACGGG
rnacentral:rRNA from 1 species